rnacentral:rRNA from 1 species
UACGUAGGGUGCGAGCGUUGUUCGGAAUCAUUGGGCGUAAAGCGUGCGUAGGUGGUUUGCUAAGUCGGGUGUGAAAUCCCUGGGCUCAACCCAGGAAGUGCAUUCGAAACUAGCUCACUUGAAGAUGGUAGAGGAAGGUGGAAUUCCAAGUGUAGAGGUGAAAUUCGUAGAUAUUUGGAGGAAUACCGGCGGCGAAGGCGGCCUUCUGGACCAUUCUUGACACUGAGACACGAAAGCGUGGGUAGCAAACAGG